CCUUUUCGGGAGCCUAUAUGAAGUGUCAUCAACUACGCAACUCAAUUAGCCGACCCAUUGAAGAAAAUACAACCGACAUGCUACAGGGGAAAAAAAGACGAUUCCGCAACACAAGUUGCAUCCAUCGUCAACGCUCGUCGACGGGCCAAGAAGUUCGGGAGAUGUUCGAGUCCAAGUUCUGUGCCUUCAACACCGAGCAGUGAAAGAAAGUUCUGCAACUAAUCAGUGACGUGAGAGAGACGCCGAACCACCAACAAACGUCUCACAAAUAGGUAAACUACUGUGUGGACGGAGAUAAGAUAGAAAGGGCUUCCUGUCUGUGAUCGGGGGAGAAAUGGGCGCUGUCCAUCACCUUUACUGACUCUACUGGGAGAGAGUGAGAGCAAAAGGGGGAAGGGGGGGUAGAUAGGGAGAGCGAGGGAAGGAGAGAAGGAGAAGGGGAGAGAGAGAAGGGAGAGAGAAGAAGAGUGCAAAAGAGCUAGAAAGACAGAACAUUAGAAAAAUGAAGAAAGAUAAAGAAAGAUGGAGGGAGAAAAAGACAGAGAUCUGCCUGGAUUUUUGAUCCUGCCUGGGCAGAACUCGGCUGUGAUCACAACAUUAAUAUUCAUGAACUCGGCCCCUCACAUCCCAACUCAGACCCCUUCCCCACACCCUCUCCCCCACCACCCUGUCUCCCCCUCACCCAAUCCCACUCCAUUGGGUGGCAACACUUGGUAGUGCCACAUGGUGAGACAGCUGUUGCAGGCCAACAUGGGCAUCUGUGCCCACUACAGAGAGAGAGAGUUCAGGCGAGGAAGGAGGCAGGCGUGGGGUGGCAUCAGUUGGGCCAGGGCAGGGAGAGAUAGGCCAUCAGUGGGCCAGGGCAGGGCAGGGAGAGAUAGGCCAUCAGUGGGCCAGGCCAGGGCAGGGAGAGAUAGGCCAUCAGUGGGCCAGGGCAGGGAGAGAUAGGCCAUCAGUGGGCCAGGGCAGGGAGAGAUAGGCCAUCAGUGGGCCAGGCCAGGGCAGGGAGAGAUAGGCCAUCAGUGGGCCAGGCCAGGGCAGGGAGAGAUAGGCCAUCAGUGGGCCAGGCAGGGCAGGGAGAGAUAGGCCAUCAGUGGGCCAGGCCAGGGCAGGGAGAGAUAGGCCAUCAGUGGGCCAGGCCAGGGCAGGGAGAGAUAGGCCAUCAGUGGGCCAGGCCAGGGCAGGGAGAGAUAGGCCAUCAGUGGGCCAGGCCAGGGAGAGAUAGGCCAUCAGUGGGCCAGGGCAGGGAGAGAUAGGCCAUCAGUGGGCCAGGCCAGGGCAGGGAGAGAUAGGCCAUCAGUGGGCCAGGGCAGGGCAGGGAGAGAUAGGCAAUCAGUGGGCCAGGGCAGGGCAGGGAGAGAUAGGCAAUCAGUGGGCCAGGGCAGGGAGAGAUAGGCCAUCAGUGGGCCAGGCCAGGGCAGGGAGAGAUAGGCCAUCAGUGGGCCAGGCCAGGGCAGGGAGAGAUAGGCCAUCAGUGGGCCAGGCCAGGGCCCACUGUCGUUCUGCCCCUGAACAGGCAGUUAACCCACUGUUCCCAGGCCGUCAUUGAAAAUAAGAAUAUGUUCUUAACUGACUUGCCUGGUUAAAUAAAGGUAAAAAAAAAUCAGUGGGCCAGGCCAGGGCAGGGAGAGAUAGGCCCUCAGUGGGCCAGGACAUUGAGGGCAGGGAGAGCAGGGAGAGAGGGAGAGAGGGAGACGACCCUGAUGCAACCUGAGGCCUGGACUGAAGGAGAGAUAAGGGAGAGAGAGGGGUAUAAUCACCCAAUUCCAGCCUGUAUGGGGAAAAUUAGAGAGAUGGAAAGAGAGGGGGGUAGUUGUGCCAUAAGCAUCCGAUGCCAGCUGUGGGUAAAAGGUAGAGUGACAGAGACAUUGAAAAAGAGAGGGGGGGGGGAGAGACAGGGAAAAACAGAGCGAGAGACAGGGAAAGAGAGAGAGCAAGAGAGACUGGGAAAAAGAGGGAGAGAGAGGGAGAAAGAGACAGGGAAAAAGAGGGAGAGAGAGGGAGAAAGAGACAGGGGAAAAAAGAGCGAGAGACAGGGAAAGAGAGAGAGCGAGAGAGACUGGGAGAAAGAGGGAGAGAGAGAGAGACUGGGAGAAAGAGGGAGAGAGAGGGCAUCACAAGCAUCCCAUGCCAGCUUGUUAUGGGUGAGAAGUAGCACCUGUCCUUUAAGAGCAGAGUGGAGCAUUAGCAUGAUAAAACCAUCCAUACUCCCAGUCCCAUGUGAAGUGUUGAGUUCUCUCAAUACAUACACUAACAACCCCAUCCAUUCUCUCUCUCUCUCUCUGUGUCUUUCUCUCAUCUCCCCACACCCCCUCGCUCUAUCUCUAUAUCUCUUCUCUCUUCAUCCCUCUUUCUCUAACACCCCAACACCUCCCCAUCCCUCCCUCCCUGAUAUCUACAGAGGGCAUGGGACCAUUCCCAGGGUGAUUAUCCCAUGCCAGGUGCCCCCUCCUCCCCCUCUCCUUUCCUCACUCCCUCAGCCCCACCACACACCCUUGCCAUUUCCCUCUCUCCCCGAGCGCCAGCAGUGCCCCCCCAGUGGCAGUGCCAACGUGGGCAGCCUCUGCCUUGGCGGUUCCCGGGCCUUCUGGUGCCCCAGAUAGGCCGUGUGUGAGUGUGUGCGCAAUGGGCCAGCCCUAUGUGGGCAUCGCCAGACCUUUAAACUGUGUCAAUGCUCCAGAUGCUGAGAGAGACUGGGAUUAGAACAGGCGGACAGGCAUCCGUGUGGACACACACACACACCAACAUUAAUAUUGUAUUAGGAUCCCCAUUAGCUGUUGCGAAAGCAGCAGCUACUCUUCCUGGGGUCCACACAGAACAUUAACCAUGACAUAAUACAGAACAUUAAUAGACAAGGACAGAACUACAUACAUUUAAAAUUAAAAUAUACAUGCUUUCAUACAUUACUGCCUUCGUAAUCACGUGAGUCAUAAUGCUACUGAAUGCCAGUGUAACACACUAAAAUGCCUUCGUAAUCAUCUGAGUCAUAAUGCUACUGAAUGCCAGUGUAACACACUAAAAUGCCUUCGUAAUCAUGUGAGUCAUAAUGCUACUGAAUGCCAGUGUAACACAUUAAAAUGCCUUCGUAAUCAUGUGAGUCAUAAUGCUACUGAAUGCCAGUGUAACACAUUAAAAUGCCUUCGUAAUCAUGUGAGUCAUCAUGCUACUGAAUGCCAGUGUAACACAUUAAAAUGACUUCAUAAUCAUGUGAGUCAUGAUGCUACUGAAUGCCAGUGUAACACACUAAAAUGCCUUCGUAAUCAUGUGAGUCAUAAUGCUACUGAAUGCCAGUGUAACACAUUAAAAUGCCUUCAUAAUCAUGUGAGUCAUAAUGCUACUGAAUGCCAGUGUAACACACUAAAAUGCCUUCGUAAUCAUGUGAGUCAUAAUGCUACUGAAUGCCAGUGUAACACACUAAAAUGCCUUCGUAAUCAUGUGAGUCAUAAUGCUACUGAAUGCCAGUGUACCACACUAAAAUGCCUUCAUUAAUCAUGUGAGUCAUAAUGCUACUGAAUGCCAGUGUAACACAUUAAAAUGCAAUAACAAGGAGGUGCGUUGCAAAUAGGCUGACACUUUUGGCUAAAUUCCCCUGAUGUGAAUGAAGCUACCUUGUUUCUAUAGUUACCGCCCGUAAUGGGUAUCCUGGGGUAAAGUAUAGACUUUUUACAGAUACCACCCGCUAUGGAAUUCUUUAGGUACAAUGCAACAUUCAUGAAAUAACCAGGCCUUGAAUCUUGAGCCUUGUUACAGUCUAUCACCCUUAACGGGUUAGCUGAGAUAGUGUAAUGGGUUACAGUCUACCACCCUUAACGGGUUAGCUGAGAUAGUGUAAUGGGUUGCAGUCUACCACCCUUAACGGGUUAGCUGAGAUAGUGUAAUGGGUUACAGUCUACCACCCUUAACGGGUUAGCUGAGAUAGACUGCAACCCAUUACACUAUCACCCUUAACGGGUUAGCUGAGAUAGUGUAAUGGGUUGCAGUCUACCACCCUUAACGGGUUAGCUGAGAUAGUGUAAUGGGUUGCAGUCUACCACCCAUAAAGGGUUAAGGUCCUUGGCUCCCACUGAGGCUUUCAUCUCAGCCGUGAUCAGAGUUAACAGACGUGAACGCAGCAACCUUGAAUCGGUUGGAGUUUCCUUCCUUUAAACUUCCUAUUUCAUGGUUUCCACCUCAACAGCUUGUCUUAUAUUUCCAUCUUAAUUCCGCUACACCACAUUCACACCCAGCAGUGUCCAACAGUCACUAGUGAUGGGGGGAGAAAAUCGAUACAGUUACAUAUCGGGACAUCGUUUUUUUUUAACGAUAAAUCGUAUCAUUUCGACAAUAUCACAAUAUUAUUAUUAUUAUAUUAUUAUUUUUGCGCUCGUUGGCUGUACCUGCACCAGAACAACAGUAUUUUUCCUUAAUAGCUUGUUCUCCAUCUUCUUUUUUAAAUAGGGACACAAAUGUUUUCAGCCCUCUUGUUUCCAUGACUGGUCAAAACUCCUGAUUUAAUGUCUCUCUCUUGUCCCUCUGCAGCAGACAUGGUGAGCAAUAUGUCUGGAACAUCAAAUCGCAAUAAAAAUCACAAUAUCGAACCGCAAUACACAUAGAAUUGUGACAAUCGUAUCGGCACCAAAGUCUAAUGAUAAUAUGGUAUCUUGAGGUCCCUGGUAAUUACCAGCUCUACCAUUCACACUCAUACCAGUACAUAAAGGUAUCAACUCAAGGACAGAACUACAUACAUUUCAAAUACGAAUACACAAUUGAUACCCUUAAGCGCAAUGUUCCAUACAUCAACAAUGCUUCGCUGUACUGAGGAAGGUCCAGACGUCCUGAUGUCACGGCACCAAUGUUCGUAACACACACACGUGCUAAACACGUAACACACACACACACCAUCAUCCAUGAAAGUAAGUUAUUGCUACCAUUUAUGUUCGUAUUUACAACUGCUGUGCAGUAUCACUGCAGCUUGCUAAAGCAUUUGUAAUGUACUUUGCACAAAUAAGUUAGUUACUUAUCAAUAUAGAGAACAUGAAUAAUUUGAAUAUAGUGGUUUAAUUAUAUUGCAAGUCAAAAGGCUUUGGCAAUGGCGUCACAUGAUGUAUUAAUGCCAGAGCAGCACCUUUGAAAGUGGAUUUGGAUUACACAGAGAGAGAGAGGAGGGGCCUUGGAGACCUGACAUACACACACCCCUGUGUCCACACACUGGCCCUUUAGCUGGGUGCCAAUACCCCGCGGGCAUGGAGAGAGUGGAGACAAACACGCUUAUACAUUCAGGCACAUACAGGGCCUCCAGAAAGUAUUCACACCCCUUGACUUUUUCCACAUUUUGUUGUGUUACAGCCUGGAUUUAAAAUGGAUUCAAUAGAGAUUUUGUGUCACUGGCCUACAGACAAUACCCCAUCAUGCCAAAGUGGAAUUAUGUUUUCAAAAAUGGUAACAAACAAAUUAAUUAAAAAUGAAAAGCUGAAAGGACUUGAGUCAACUAUUCAACCCUUCACAUAAUAAGCUGCAUGGACUCAAUAAUAGUGUUGAAUGUGGUUUUGUAUGACUACCUCAUCUCUGUACCUCACACAUACAAUUAUCUGUAAGGUCCCUCAGUCAAGCAGUGAAUUUCAAACAAAGAUUCAACCACAAAGAACAGGGAGGUUUUUCAAUGCCAGGCAAAGAAGGGCACCUAUUGGUAGAAUUUUUUAAAAAAGCAGACAUUGAAUAUCUCUUUGAGCAUGGUGAAGUUAUUAAUUACACUUUGGAUGGUGUAUCAAUAGACCCAUUCAUUACAAAGUUACAGGCGUCCUUCCUAACUCAGUUGCUGGAGAAGAAGGAAACCGCUCAGGGGUUUUACCAUGAGGCCAACGGUGACUUUAAAACAGUUACAGAUUUGAAUGGCUGUGAUAGGAGAAAACUGAGGAUGGAUCAACAACAUUGUAGUUACUACACAAUACUAACCUAAAUGACAGAGUGAAAAGAAGAAACCUGUACAGAAUAAAUAUAUUCCAAAACAUGCAUCCUGUUUGCAAAAAUGCACUAAAGUAAAACUGCAAAAACUUUAUGUCCUGGAUACAAAGCAUUAUGUUGGGGGAAAUCCAACAAAACACAUCACUGAGUACCACUCUUCAUAUUUUCAAGCAUGGUGGUGGCUGCAUCAUGCUAUGGGUAUGCUUGUCAUCGGCAAGGACUAAGGAGUUUUGUUUUGAUAAAAAUAAACGAAAUAGAGCAAAACACAGGCAAAAUCCCAGAGGAAAGCCUGGCUCAGUCUGCUUUUCAACAGACACUGGGAGACAAAUUCACCUUUCAGCAGGAUAAUAAUCACAUUUCUAAAAACAUGUUUUCAAUUUGUGUGUGUAGAUGGGUGAGAGAAAAUAUACAUUGAAUCCAUUUUGAAUUCAGACUGUAACAACAAAAUGUGGAAUAAGUCAAGGGGUACAAAUACUUUCUGAAGGCACUGCAUGUGUACACAGUGACAAGCAGUCAUGCACGUGCACGCGCACACACACACCAGGAUGGUGCUGAACUGUUCUGAAACAGUUGAAGAGCCACAUUAGUAUUAGGGGGAGGGGAGAUGGUGAUGACACCAAGAUUGUAAAUAAGGGUGGCACAUGCGCUUGCUGAAAUUAGCUAAGGCUGUAUACCAUAUACAACAUCCACAGUCAAAAUAAUUCAAGUGAGUGAGUGGAAAUGUUAACACGGGCCUCUAUCUCUCUCUCUGUGUAUGUACAGUGGGGCAAAAAAGUAUUUAGUCAGCCACCAAUUGUGCAAAUUCUCCCACUUAAAAAGAUGAGAGAGGCCUGUAAUUUUCAUCAUAGGUACACAUCAAAUUAUGGUGGAAAAUAAGUAUUUGGUCACCUACAAACAAGCAAGAUCUCUUGCUCUCACAGACCUGUAACUUAUUCAUUUAAGAGGCUCCUCUGUCCUCCACUCGUUACCUGUAUUAAUGGCACCUGUUUGAACUUGUUAUCAGUAGAAAAGACACCUGUCCACAACCUCAAACAGUCACACUCCAAACUCCACUAUGGCCAAGACUAAAGAGCUGUCAAAGGACACCAUAAACACAAUUGUAGCCCUGCACCAGGCUGGGAAGACUGAAUCUGCAAUAGGUAAGCAGCUUGGUUUGAAGAAAUCAACUGUGGGAGCAAUUAUUAGGAAAUGGAAGACAUACAAGACCACUGAUAAUCUCCCUUGAUCUGGUGCUCCACGCAAGAUUUCACCCUGUGGGGUCAAAAUGAUCACAAGAACGGUGAGCAAAAAUCCCAGAACCACACGGGGGGACCUAGUGAAUGACCUGCAGAGAGCUGGGACCAAAGUAACAAAGCCUACAAUCAGUAACACACUACGCCACCAGGGACUCAAAUCCUGCAGUGCCAGACGUGUCCCCCUGUUUAAGCCCAGUACAUCUCCAGGCCCGUCUGAAGUUUGCUAGAGAGCAUUUUGAUGAUCCAGAAGAAGAUUGGGAGAAUGUCAUAUGGUCAGAUGAAACCAAAAUAUGGCUUUUUGGUAAAAACUCAACUCGUCGUGUUUGGAGGACAAAGAAUGCUGAGUUGCAUCCAAAGAACACCAUACCUACUGUAUGGGGGUGGAAACAUCAAGCUUUGGGGCUGUUUUUCUGCAAAGGGACCAGGACGACUGAUCCGUGUAAAGGAAAGAAUGAAUGGGGCCAUGUAUCGUGAGAUUUUGAGUGAAAACCUCCUUCCAUCAGCAAGGGCAUUGAAGAUGAAACGUGGCUGGGUCUUUCAGCAUGACAAUGAUCCCAAACACAACGCCCGGGUAAGGAAGGAGUGGCUUUGUAAGAAGCAUUUCAAGGUCCUGGAGUGGCCUAGCCAGUCUCCAGAUCUCAACCCCAUCGAAAAUCUUUGGAGGGAGUUGAAAGUCCGUGUUGCCCAGCAACAGCCCCAAAACAUCACUGCUCUAGAGGAGAUCUGCAUGGAGGAAUGGGCCAAAAUACCAGCAACAGUGUUUGAAAACCUUGUGAAGACUUACAGAAAACAUUUGACCUCUGUCAUUGCCAACAAAGGGUAUAUAACAAAGUAUUGAGAUAAACUUUUGUUAUUGACCAAGUACUUAUUUUCUACCAUAAUUUGCAAAUAAAUUCAUAAAAAAUCCUACAAUGUGAUUUUCUGGAUUUUUUUUCUCAUUUUUGUCUGUCAUAGUUGAAGUGUACCUAUGAUGAAAAUUACAGGCCUUUCUCAUCUUUUAAGUGGGAGAACUUGCAGAAUUGGUGGCUGACUAAAUACUUUUUUGCCCCACUGUAUGUCCUCCUGUCUGUCAGUGAGCAGUAGUUAGUUCUAGUAGUACCAGUCAGUUCUGGAGUGUUAGCCCUCCUAUCUAGUUAGUAGUUAGUAGUACCAGUCAGUUCUGGAGUGUUAGCCCUCCAAUCUAGUUAGUAGUUAGUAGUACCAGUCAGUUCUGGAGUGUUAUCCCUCCUAUCUAGUUAGUAGUUAGUAGUAGUAGUACCAGUCAGUUUUGGAGUGUUAUCCCUCCUAUCUAGUUAGUAGUUAGUAGUACCAGUCAGUUCUGGAGUGUUAGCCCUCCAAUCUAGUUAGUAGUUAGUAGUAGUAGUACCAGUCAGUUCUGGAAUGUUAGCCCUCCUACCUAGUUAGUAGUUAGUAGUACCAGUCAGUUCUGGAGUGUUAGCCCUCCUAACUUGUUAGUAGUUAGUAGUAGUAGUACCAGUCAGUUCUGGAGUGUUAGCCCUCCUAUCUAGUUAGUAGUUAGUAGUACCAGUCAGUUCUGGAGUGUUAGCCCUCCUAUCUAGUUAGUAGUUAGUAGUAGUAGUAGUACCAGUCAGUUCUGGAGUGUUAGCCCUCCUAUCUAGUUAGUAGUUACUAGUAGUAGUACCAUUCAGUUCUGGAGUGUUAGCCCUCCUAUCUAGUUAGUAGUUAGUAGUUAGUAGUACCAGUCAGUUCUGGAGUGUUAGCCCUACCAGGAGCCCUCCUAUCAGCCUCGGUUGGCACUGCGUUGGCAACAAGCCCUAAUUUAGGGAAUUAAAAAGCACUAGACAGGCCCUUUGUGCCACUGCGCGCCCGCUUUAAUCUCCCCACGCCUCAGCGGGCACCCACAGCACGCGCACACACACACACACACACAAACACACGCACACACACAGCGUCAGAAGUGGGCACGGUGCCCAUAUGACCCUGGGCAAUAUGGAAAUGUCCACCAAAAUCACUAACUAAGCGCCCAGGCUGCCUCUGGUAGAGUCAGUACACAGUGGGAACACACUCUAAUACCAUCCCCCCACUGCACUGAAGCAGAGAUGCACAGAGAUACACACAACACCACACCACACACACCACACCACACCACACCAUAUCACACCACACACAACACCACACCACACCACAACACGCAGAUGCUUGCACAUGCAAUUAAAUGUAUGCAUAGUUGUAUUCAUAGAAAGGGCGGGAGAGACAGACACACAGACACACACACGCAUACGCAUGCAUUAUUUCACUGUCUUUUUCUAUCAAACACAGAAGUUUGUGUUUCUCUUUGAAGUGUGGGUACGUGUAACUGCAGUGUCGACGACAAGGCCAAUUUCUCAUGAGGUCAUCCAUCACCUCUAAUGAAACUGGCAGAGCCUAACUGUCUCGCUGUGUGUGUGUGUGUGUGUGUGUGUGUGUGUGUGUGUGUGUGUGUGUGUGUGUGUGUGUGUGUGUGUGUGUGUGUGUGUGUGUGUGUGUGUGUGUGUGUGUGUGUGUGUGUGUGUGUGUGUGUGUCUCUCCCUGGGCAGAUCCACUGGCGCCUCGCUAACCCAGGGAGGAGAAAUGGACUGAUUUAAUUACAGAUGAAACACACACACACAGGCUGGCUAUCACACAGACAGAUUUUUUUUCACACAGACUCGCACUCAAAGAGCACAGAUUUUAAACAAAGUUCAUAAAUACACACCUUUUUUCAAGCCAGUCUGUUCAUGUUAGCAUGUGAGGAGGCUACAAUGGGGAGCUGAGUGGGUGCUGACUGGUGUGAUGUUGACAUGUGUUAAAGCUAAGCAACAAAGCCAAAGCUAACUUAAAAGUGGCAAUCAGCAGUUGUUACAUCCAUUUUUGCACUUAAUUAUACGUACCGAUAGAUUUUUGAAGAACACAACGGAAAAAUGCCUCAUGAGCUUAGUUCAACUGUCGUACCACAUCAGAACCAAAAAUAUAAGCGUGUUUUACUUCAAUGUUUGCAAACAAUGUAAAUUGUAAACCAACACUAUAUAGCCUCAAAACAUGGUUAAACCUAUAAAGUUGACAUCAUGGAGGGUCAGUCCCAUAGCUUUAUAUGUUAAUCUGAGUGGUUACAUUUCUCCAGCAUCAUCCCUCAGCUUUUGACAGAAACAGGAGCUUUGUUAUUGUUUCUCCUGCUGAUUGCUGCUUUAAGUAGCUUCAUAACACGACAGCAUGAGAGUUACAGCUGAGGAUAAAAUGAUCAGCGUUUGUUCAAUCUGUAGUUAAACGGUCCUCUUUGAUGGUGAAGGAGGUGAAUAUCUCUUUGAUUCUUGUUACGAAACCAAUAACUAGCCUGCUAAUAUUGUUGCACUCAUUAAGUCUAGGGGUCUCAGGCCUAGUUAACUGGUCUGUAACCGGAUUUAAGCCUGUAAAUGUGUGAGAAAUCAGCGUAUGCGCCUAGGUGUUGAAGGUUCAGUAUGGAUGGAGUGUGUCCUGGAUAGUGUGUUUGUCUAUGUCCUAGCACUAACCCCCCCCCCCCCAUAUCAUAACAUUCUAAAGAAGGGAAAACCAGCUGAUGAUUGGCUCUGUCAUUCAGGCUAAUUUUCAUCCAGAAUUUAGAUGUACGGCUGUUGGCCAAAACCUUGGCCACUAGGCUAGAAGCGUUGCUCCCUUCACUCAUCAAUAUAGACCAGACGGGGCUUGUCGAAGGCAGAUACUCGUAGCAUAAUAUAAGGAAACUUCUAAACAUUAUUCAACAUGCAAAUCUAUAUAGCCCAGAGGCCUUAGUGAUCUCACUUGAUGCAGAGAAGGUCUUUAACAGGGUCGAGUGGACCUAUCUGAUUAUGACACUAGGAGAUGAGUUCAUCAAAUGGAUAGGGGUAUUUGACACCUGUCCUACUGCUGCUGUUCUCACCAAAGGGGUCAGAUUUCACACUAGGACAUGGAACCAGGUAGGGUUGUCCAAUGACUGUUCUGUUAUUAGCUGUGGCAAUAAGGCUGGAGGAUGCUAUAGGUGAGAUCCAAUAAGGGACCAAAGGCAAUAACAUUUCUCCAUAUGCGGAUGAUGUUUCGCUGCUCGUGUAGAAAUUCUAUUCCAAAACUUGUAGACCUUAUUACCUCUUUAGGAGCUUCCUCUAGGUAUAAAGUCUGAGGCUAUGACACGUGGUGACUCCCAGGCUGUUAAUUCAACAAUCAGCCUUUCCAAUGGCCUCCCUCUGAUUUCACGUACUUGACUAUUCAAAUCUCUCCUGUGCUAAAAUGCAUGUAUAGAUGACCCCACUCCUGCUCUCUAUUCAAAAUGAUCUUCAUAGGGGGUGUUGCCUGCCUCUGUCGUGGUUAGGCCGUUCUCACCUUAUCAAAAUGAUCUUCAUAGGGGGUGUUGCCUGCCUCUGUCGUGGUUAGGCCGUUCUCACCUUAUCAAAAUGAUCUUCAUAGGGGGUGUUGCCUGCCUCUGUCGUGGUUAGGCCGUUCUCACCUUAUCAAAAUGAUCUUCAUAGGGGGUGUUGCCUGCCUCUGUCGUGGUUAGGCCGUUCUCACCUUAUCAAAAUGAUCUUCAUAGGGGGUGUUGCCUGCCUCUGUCGUGGUUAGGCCGUUCUCACCUUAUCAAAAUGAUCUUCAUAGGGGGUGUUGCCUGCCUCUGUCGUGGUUAGGCCGUUCUCACCUUAUCAAAAUGAUCUUCAUAGGGGGUGUUGCCUGCCUCUGUCGUGGUUAGGCCGUUCUCACCUUAUCAAAAUGAUCUUCAUAGGGGGUGUUGCCUGCCUCUGUCGUGGUUAGGCCGUUCUCACCUUAUCAAAAUUAAUAUUCUCCCUUGCCUGCUAUACCGUUUUCAAAUGGUCCCACUUUUACUUCCCAGAAAAACCUUUACCCAGUUAGACCGUGCUAUCAUAAUUUUCUUCUGGCCAAGGAAAAGACUUAGGGUGAAGUACAGCUAUCUCACUCUACCUACCAGGUUAGCUGGUCUAGCAGCCCCUUCUCUUAAAUGUUAUCAACUGGCAUCUCAACUGAGCUUUAUUGAGAGUAUUGAAAACUCAAGAGCCUCUUGGCUUAAUGGUGAAUCAGCUACUAUUGGGACAAUCCCACUCCGUAAAUGUUUAUACAUAUCGCAGACAAAGAUAGGCAAGUAACUAAAGACAAUUCAUUACAUGCUGAAGAACAUCUCUCUAUCUGGGGACAGGUCCGAAAUUUAGAAGGGCACAAUGAUUGUUCCUCAUUACUGACCCCUUUGAAUGAAACCUAAUGUGUCUUGUCUUUACAGUAAGUCUCAGGAAGCAGGAGGUUCCCUUAUUCAUUGUUUCUGGGAUUGUUGUUACAUAAAAACCAUUCUGGUCGGAGGUUCUACAGGAGAUACAUAACGUUUCUUGAACACACUCUCUCCAGCUGGGAGCAGCGUUUUUUAGACGGAAAUUAGAGAGGAGCUGCCUCUUCGAUUUCCUUACGCACAUGUUACACAUUUUAUUACAUUGUGCACAAAAAAAUUAUUCUUCUGCUGUGGAUACCUGAUAAGGCUUCCUCAAGAAGUCAAUGGGAACAAAGGGCCAUUGAUUUCAUUCCCAAUGAGGCUUUCUCUACUUUAAAUAAGCCUCAUCAAUUUCUUAAGAUGUGGGACCCCUUCGUGAACCAACUCCGUCAAAACAAAGUGUCCAUUUCAGGACUGUCAGGCCUGGCCUGGCGCGAUUCAGCUACUCGAGGACAAAUCUACUUUAUGUAGGCGGUUUGUACUCAUACUUGACCUCUGUGAUUGUGUAGUCUGACGCUUAUUGUGGGUCUAUGAUCUGUAUACUGAUUAAUGGUAUUUUAUUUAUUUUUUAUUGUUGUCUUGUCUUGUCCUGUCUGUCUUGUCCUGUCUGUCUUGUCCUGUCUGUCUGUCUGUCUGUCUGUCUGUCUGUCUGUCUGUCUGUCUGUCUGUCUGUUGUGCUCUUCAUUCUCCUGUGUCUAGUGUUUUUAUUGCCUUGUUUUGUGUAUUUUUCUUACUCUGUAAAAGCCACAAAAGUUAAUACAAAUGAUAUUUAAAAAAAUAUAUAAUAAUAAAAAAAAACUGCAGUUAAGUGCUAACAAAUACUGGCAUAGUCAGUGAAAAGCUGAUUGGCAUUAGCGUUAGUAUGCUAACUAGCCUAGCUGCUUCUCCCUGCUGCUCUAGGCAGGUUCACAGUGUUAGCACACUAACUAUCCUAGCUUCCCUCCCUACUGCUCUAGGCAGGUUCACAGUGUUAGCACACUAACUAGCCUAGCUGCUUCUCCCUGCUGCUCUAGGCAGGUUCACAGUGUUAGCACACUAACUAGCCUAGCUGCUUCUCCCUGCUGCUCUAGGCAGGUUCACAGUGUUAGCACACUAACUAUCCUAGCUUCCCUCCCUACUGCUCUAGGCAGGUUCACAGUGUUAGCACACUAACUAGCCUAGCUGCUUCUCCCUGCUGCUCUAGGCAGGUUCACAGUGUUAGCACACUAACUAGCCUAGCUGCUUCUCCCUGCUGCUCUAGGCAGGUUCACAGUGUUAGCACACUAACUAGCCUAGCUGCUUCUCCCUGCUGCUCUAGGCAGGUUCACAGUGUUAGCACACUAACUAGCCUAGCUGCUCCUCCCUGCUGCUCUAGGCAGGUUCACAGUGUUAGCACACUAACUAGCCUAGCUGCUCCUCCCUGCUGCUCUAGGCAGGUUCACAGUGUUAGCACACUAACUAGCCUAGCUGCUCCUCCCUGCUGCUCUAGGCAGGUUCACAGUGUUAGCACACUAACUAGCAUAGCUUCCCUCCCUGCUGCUCUAGGCAGGUUCACAGUGUUAGCACACUAACUAGCCUAGCUUCCCCCCCUACUGCUCUAGGCAGGUUCACAGUGUUAGCACACUAACUAGCCUAGCUUCCCUCCCUGCUGCUCUAGGCAGGUUCACAGUGUUAGCACACUAACUAGCCUAGCUUCCCUCCCUACUGCUCUAGGUAGGUUCACAGUGUUAGCACACUAACUAGCCUAGCUUCCCUCCCUACUGCUCUAGGCAGGUUCACAGUGUUAGCACACUAACUAGCCUAGCUUCCCUCCCUGCUGCUCUAGGCAGGUUCACAGUGUUAGCACACUAACUAGCCUAGCUUCCCUCCCUGCUGCUCUAGGCAGGUUCGCAGGUUCACAGUGUUAGCACACUAACUAGCCUAGCUGCCCCUCCCUGCUGCUCUAGGCAGGUUCGCAGGUUCACAGUGUUAGCACACUAACUAGCCUAGCUGCCCCUCCCUGCUUCUCUAGGCAGGUUCACAGUGUCCUUUCCUUAAAACAAAGACACACUUUGGCCCAGAAACCGGAUACACUCCCACUUCUCCUCCUUCUCUCUCUGCCUUUCUCCUUCUCUCAAUCUCCACCUCACACUUUCUUUCUCCCCUUCUCCCUCCUCACCCCGUCACUCUUUCCCUAUUUCUUUUUCUGCUUCUCUUUCUCCCUUCUCCUUUGCUCAACCCUCUCUUUCCUUCCCCCCUCUCCCUUUCCUUCUCUUUCUUAUUCUCUCCAUUUCUCUCUCCCCACUGGUUUCACUUAAUAAGCUUCAAAGGGUUUCUGGGCAACGUGGUAUCUUAAAAAAAAGUAACCAUGGCAUUUAUUUGGCACACAACAUCUUCCCUCUUUCUGAGGAUAUGGGGGUUGCCAUGACAUCGGUGGGCACCUUAUAAAGCACACCAUUGUUGCUGUUUGUGUGUAUGUGUGUAUGUGUGUAUGUGUGUGUGUCUGUGUGUGUGUGUGUGUGUGUGUGUGUGUGUGUGUGUGUGUGUGUGUGUGUGUGUGUGUGUGUGUGUGUGUGUGUGUGUGUGUGUGUGUGUGUGUGUGUGUGUGUGUGUGUGUGUGUGUGUGUGUGUGUGUGUGUGUGUGUGUGUGUGUGUGUGUGUGUGUGUGUCAGGCGUCUUGUGCCAGCUUGGUCUAAACGCUCAGGCUCCUCAUAUGAAACGCAGAACGUUGCCUAUGCCAGGGAGGAGAGAAUACAAUUAUACCGGCCAACUCAUGCUUACCAGACUAGUCACACACAUUCUCUCUCCUUUACUCUCCCUCCCUCUGACACACAACUGAAAGGUUACAUACAGCGUUCACACUAAACUAUGAUAAUUCUAUAAGAUAAAAUGUUGUGGUUAGGGGCGAUAUAGGCCUAUGUGUUAACAAGUAGUGUUUAAAAUAGUUUUUUUCUCUCUCAGUGCCAACUCCUCCCUCUCUAACAAUGAUCUCCUGUAGCUCCCCUUCCCCACACUACCCACUCCUUAGGCUCUCUUCCUCUAUGCCCAGAAUGCUUUACUCAGACACCACUGAGCACACGCACACACAAACCUCUGUCAGACACACACACACACACACACACACACACACACACACACACACACACACACACACACACACACACACACACACACACACACACACACACACACACACACACACACACACACACACAAUGGGCUGAGGGUCUUGGGCCCAUGCAACCAUACUAUAUGUGGUGAGUUCUCAUCUCACAGCUCUAUAUUCUGGGCCUCUGGUGGUCUCUAUUGGUCACUGUAUGUAAUUACAUUUCUAUUCAACCUCGGGUACGAGGCUGGAAUUGAUUCAUUCAAUGUAGUUGAAAGAAAACUGAUAUUAUUUCAUUUAAAGUCUGCAUUGAACCAUCCUAUUGCAGCUACUGUAUAUUAUAAACAUUGCUGUUUAAAAAAAAUCUGUUUAUGUUUGACUAACUGAUAGUCAGGGGCCAAGACACUAAAGCAAAACCUUUCUCCCCUCUAAGCCAAAGUGGACUUAUUUUGUUACGGGUGUUGAUGGCAGAAUUCCCAGUACAGAAUUAGGGCCUCUGAGCUCUGAUACCGCUCCUGAAUCCCAUUCCCAGCAAGGCAUCAUUGCUUUCCUGGUGAUCACAGUGGAGGACACCCCUUCUAUGUCAAGACAAGUCUCUCUCUCUCUCUCUCUCUCUCUCUCUCUCUCUCUCUCUCUCUCUCUCUCUCUCUCUCUCUCUCUCUCUCUCUCUCUCU